AUAUGUGCUGUGCAAUUGUGAUCCGUUCUAGUGUAUCAUACAAUUCACAGCUUAAUAUUGAUUAAUUCCAGUUUAUUAAUUUGGAAUAUAUAUCUUUUGAUAGAGGCCUAGGUCACUAAUUUUCUUGUUUUAAUAUAUUUAAGAAAAUAUCAUAUGAUAUCUUCAUCUUUGCUUUCUAUAUCACUUAUAUAAUUAACAUGUUAGCUACAUAGAUCUAUGCAAUACAGUAAUUAAAUAUCAUAUUACAAAAUAUCAAAUUCAUACGUUCUUUUUCCUUUGUUUUUGGUUGGUUGAGAAAUCACUACCAUUUUUUGUUGAUACAUAUAAUUAGAAAACAAGUAUAUACAUAUAUCAAGAUUAACCGUAUAGUUUAAUGGCCUUUAUAUGAAAAUUUUUAUGUUCUUAAACUAAACUGGAAAUAUUUGAGAGCUGGGAUAUUUUUGAUACACUAGCACGGAUCACCGUUGUGGGUCACGUAAAAAAUAAAUGGGCAUGGUGGUGUGU
rnacentral:pre_miRNA from 1 species